ACGGGUGAGUAACGCGUGGGAAUCUACCGUACCCUACGGAAUAGCUCCGGGAAACUGGAAGUAAUACCGUAUACGCCCUUUUGGGGAAAGAUUUAUCGGGGUAUGAUGAGCCCGCGUUGGAUUAGCUAGUUGGUGGGGUAAAGGCCUACCAAGGCGACGAUCCAUAGCUGGUCUGAGAGGAUGAUCAGCCACAUUGGGACUGAGACACGGCCCAAACUCCUACGGGAGGCAGCAGUGGGGAAUAUUGGACAAUGGGGGCAACCCUGAUCCAGCCAUGCCGCGUGAGUGAUGAAGGUCUUAGGAUUGUAAAGCUCUUUCACCGAUGAAGAUAAUGACGGUAGUCGGAGAAGAAGCCCCGGCAAACUUCGUGCCAGCAGCCGCGGUAAUACGAAGGGGGCUAGCGUUGUUCGGAAUUACUGGGCGUAAAGCGCACGUAGGCGGAUAAUUAAGUCAGGGGUGAAAUCCCGCAGCUCAACUGCGGAACUGCCUUUGAUACUGGUUAUCUUGAGUAUGGAAGAGGUAAGUGGAAUUGCGAGUGUAGAGGUGAAAUUCGUAGA
rnacentral:rRNA from 1 species